ACGGGAGGCAGCAGUGGGGAAUAUUGCACAAUGGGGGAAACCCUGAUGUAGCGACGCCGCGUGAGUGAAGAAGUAUUUCGGUAUGUAAAGCUCUAUCAGCAGGGAAGAUAAUGACGGUACCUGACUAAGAAGCCCCGGCUAACUACGUGCCAGCAGCCGCGGUAAUACGUAGGGGGCAAGCGUUAUCCGGAUUUACUGGGUGUAAAGGGAGCGUAGACGGUUUUGCAAGUCUGAAGUGAAAUGCGGGGGCUCAACCCCUGAACUGCUUUGGAAACUGUAGAACUAGAGUGCAGGAGAGGUAAGCGGAAUUCCUAGUGUAGCGGUGAAAUGCGUAGAUAUUAGGAGGAACACCAGUGGCGAAGGCGGCUUACUGGGCUUUAACUGACGCUGAGGCUCGAAAGCGUGGGGAGCAAACAGGAUUAGAUACCCUGGUA
rnacentral:rRNA from 1 species